GAAGUCGAAGUCGGAUGCUUAACUGACUGAGCCACCCUGGUGCCCCCCAGAAUACGGUGAAAAGUUGCCACAACUUUAAGGUCAAACCAUGGACCAACAUUUUAGAUUAUAGUCUCUUGUAUAGCAAGAAUAACUUUACGACACCUUUAGUAAUAAAUACCUAGACAACUCAAAGAGGCAUGGCCACUUCAUAAUAAAUAUUGAGUUGAAGAACUGUUCCACAUUAUAUUACUAAAUGUCUAUGAUCUUUAUAUUUCCAUUAGAUUUUUUCUCAUCAAUUUGCAAAGAGUUUAUUGUAUAGUAGGACAAUUAGCCCUUUUUCAUGUAAGAUGUAUUAUUACCUUCCUUGCUUACCCCUGGCCAGAAUGUUAUUAAGACAAAGCAUUUAAAAUUUUUAUUCAGUCUCUACAAGGAUUCUGUAUCUUACCAUGAGAUUGAGUUUUUGCUUGGUUGCUAAAAAAUAGGCUUGACUAAAAUGUGAACAUGUUGAAAAUCAAAUGGGCUGUGUUAAUUUAAUUUCCAAGGGAGCUAUUUGAGCAGUUCAGCAUUUGUGAAAAUCUACACUCUAUUUAAAUGGACUUUUAACUUUCUUCAUAUGAAAUGAGCCAUGAGCUAGCCCAUUAGGUGAUUUUGAAAAAUUCAGCAUCAAGAACAAUGUUAUCCAGGACCAUUUCCAGAAUAAUAUUUAGUUGAACUGAAAAUGCAGAUUGAUAUUUUUUGCCUUCUGUGACAUUAAUUUGUCUUAAAUGUUUGUCCUGUGUCUUGUGUUUAGUUGUUGAUGUUAAACUGAAAACCCAGAAAGAUCCAUCCCAGAAAGCUACUGUGAAAUGCUCACCAUGAAAAUAAGAGAAAAAACAAGAAGAAAGACAGACCUAUAACAAAUAGAAGAUCUACCAUGACAAGGAGAUACAGAAAACCCUCAUGAUGAGGGAAAGGAGAAUUUGAGCCUGAUAACCAGUGGGAG